CCUGACAGCGUCUGAGCCACCAUGGGAACCCGAGGUGACGUGUAUCCAUUGGGGCUCUGCAUCGCCCUGUGCCUGUGGGGCACCGUGGCCCAGAAUCAUGGCGUACAAGGUACCACUGGGGACUGCAACAGCCAUACGCUGUGCCCAGCAAAUGCCAAGUGUGUGAACAGCACCCACUGCACCUGC